AAUAUGCUGACUGUGACAGACUAAGGUAUUUCUUCUAUAGGAUGUAAGACAAUGCUAAAAUUUCAGGAUGUCUUGCCCAUUCCGAUUUCAGGAUAUUAUUUUCCAGACGUAUGCAAAAAAGCUUAUCUUCCCAUUGUCAGAAUAACAUGUAAUAUAUAAGGAAGUAAUAAAUCGUAUAAUCUGUAUUGUAUUGCAUAUCUCAUGACUAAGGUAAACAAAACUGUAUAAAUGCUAGCUUCACAGUAAUACAGAUUGAGAACUUGUUAAGCACCUUCGUGUCUGUCUGUUAUUUGCUAAGCAAGUCUCUCCCGUCAAUUGAUGUGGUGAACAGAGGAUCGAGAACCGAGGGUUGAGUCCAGGACAGCAUUAACCCUUUCAGCUUGGUGUCUAGAAGUGGGAUAGAAGUUGGAUCAGCAAAAUCAUUGGGUAAGUAGCCUUUUUGUGUCUUAUUUGACGCUGAUUGUCUAUGACCCCUUUGGUUUAGUAAGACUGUAUCCAGUACAUAGGAAAGGUGUAAGGACUCUAGUUAUAUUGAG